UUUUUAUUGAAAAAAGUAGAAAAAACUGGAAUGAUAUAGAGAAAAUUAUACAUCUGAGUGAGGAUGACAUACAAAUUCGUGAAGUGUUACAUAUUUUA
rnacentral:snRNA from 1 species